rnacentral:lncRNA from 1 species
AGCCACCACCUCAAGUUUGAAAGAAGGAAGCGAAGGACUUCCCAAUUACCAUAAUUGAACAGUCGACUAUCCCAUAACUUGUGGUAACCUCUUUCUCCAGUGUGAAAAUACGAUUCCUGGGAACUUUGGCCAACAUCAAAGCCAUUAAGUCCAUCAGUCACAUUGUUACUUGCAUGACUGUGAACAACAUCCAUUAAGACCCGUAGACCUAAGCUGUGAGCUUUAUCAAUUAAAUAUUUGAGGUCCUCAGGAGUUCCAGAUCUACUGCUUACAGAAAAAAAGUUCGUUACAUGGUAUCCAAAUGACGCAUAGUAGGAAUGCUCCAUUACAGCCAUCAAUUGUACGGUAUUAUAGUUAUUUGCCUGAAUACGGG